AAAAGAAAAAGCUCAGGCAGGGGUCUUUCAGUCAAACAUCAUUCUCAGAUCUCGGAAGUGUGUUUAGAUGGGAGCAGUACUGGACUUAUUCAGUUUGGUUCCAGAAAGUGAAACUGAAACCGGUGAGAACCAGAUGAACACAGCUUCAGGUCCAAGUGAAAGAAAACUUCUACAUUAACUGCCAUCCACUGGAGUAGGUCCCAUCUUGAGGUGGUGAGCAUCUAGUUAGCAGAACCUGUGUUCGUCAGAGCUACUGUCUCUCUGUGUUGCCCAGAUUGGAUGCUUCCAGGCUACAGGAAUCUUUCUUCCUCCUCUUCCAAACUUCUGGGACUAGAGGAAAGCAUCACUGUGCUAGCCUAGGAUGUUUCCUUCGGGACUGAAACAUUCCAUCCAGAAGGGAAGCGCCUAAACAGAAAGAUAAACAACUCAAAUGGCUUCAGGAAGUCCUUGAAACUGACCAGAUUCGCUAUCCUGCCCUCUUUAUUGAGUAAGCAAUCAAAGCUGAGAGUUCCUCUCAGACUAGCAGAGCUGCAAAGAAAACCACCAGAUUAGCCAAGUUGAAAAGAAGACUCCACAAGCAGACCAGCUGAGCUGCCUAGAAGAGGUUUAAUACCAACUGAGAGUGAAAAGGAUGCCCUCCAACACACUGAGCUGCCUGCAGUGUGCUCCACAUCCCCAGCUUUUGUGAGCUGUCACCCAUGCUGGGGUGGACUUUGGUGAUACACCUGUCUUUGAGUCAUUUCUACUCCCGUAAGUAACCCCUCACCCAUAAGUGACUCCAGGAAAACUUAUUAAUUCACCAAGUUGGACUUUGGUAGUACCUGUACUUUGAUCUCUCAUAGUCUCCCUGUCUGGGGUGAGUGGACAAGCGUUUUGUCUCCUCAGGAAAAGUUUUGUCACAUAACACUAUCUCACUGGUUUUGAGCAAGGGAAGCUCAUUUGUUAUAUGGCUGCUUUGUUAUUUUGUUGUUGUUUGUAUUUUUGUAUUUGGGGCUUUGAGACAGGGUCACAUUUCUCAGAUCUGCCUCCACCUCUCAAAUUCUAGGAUUACAAACACAUGCAUCACCAUGCUGGGUCUGGAGCAGCAUCUUUGAAAGGACUAUUAUAAUUUCUUGCAAAUCUAGAAGGUACAGCUGAGAACUUUAUGCUAGUAUUAUUCCCCCAAAUAUUUCAUUAAACACUGAUUUCAAGGCUAGACACAAUACCUGCCGCCUGUCGCUCUCCAAAGGCAAAUGCUCCAUGCUGCUGCCCCCCAGAGGCCAUUGUGCCUAAUAGCAGCCCACACUGUGACUCCUGAAGACGUAAAUUAAGAGUGGCUCUAGCGGCUUGUAGAAACCUAUAGAAAAGCCCUAAGAGAAUCGAGACCACUGGAACUGGAGUUGCAGAUAGUUGUGGACACUGGGAACUGAACCCAGGCCUUCUACAAGAAUAUCAAGUGCUCUUAGUCAGUGGGCCUUCUCUCCAGUGCCACAAUUGCAUCUUUUUGUUGUUGUUUGUUUUGUUUUUGCAGCUAACCGUGUCCUAACUGGGUAUGGUUCCUUUUAAAAGCAAGACUUCAAAUGAGAUAAUGUGUGUAAAGUAUUAAAUGAGCUUUAACUGGUAUUUGCUAUUGUGUUUAUUAUCACAUACACUAGGCUUGUUUACUUAGGAGACCCUUAAGGGCUUCAGUGGUUCUAGAACGUUGUUUAGAUCAUGCUGCCCUAAAGUACCCCAUACUAUGUAAAAUGAUGAGUCUUCAGACUGGGCCUUGCCCUGAGAGACUGCAUUUUAUGAGGAGGUUUCUCUUCCAUUUUGAGAAUGGAGGAUGAAUCUGCACCAUGAUGAAUAUGUAACAACAUCAUUUGUCUGUCACUACUCACAAGGUACAAACUAUUGACAUGUUCCUAAAAGUAGAAUAGGUACCUCCCAAGUAAACUGGGGCUGAAGGAGCUCAUGGACGUACUAAAAUCACCUCAGGAAAACCAGGCCAAAAAAAAACAAUCUGACAUAGCAGACUGGAGGAAGGGACAACUGCUUCACUUGUAUCUCACAGAGGAUGGGACACCUAGCACUGGGGUGCUGAUAGCCCCCAUCUGACACCUGGUGUGUGUGUAAGGAGACUGACAAGCAGAGAAUUCUUGACCAUCCCAGGGGCUUCAGUUUGGCUCAGUCUCCACUGUUGGCACGGCCUAUCAAAUUACCCUCCAUCUAGCCGCCUGUUGGCCCCUCUGGACCUGCUAUCCGGCCAUCGUUUGUUUGUUUGCCUGGAUCAGUCCUGUCCCCUACCUCUGCAGACUUCACUUUACCUUGCUUCUGCAGCUGAACCCUGUGGCUGCACAAUGGCGGACCUGACAUCCAGCUGAGAAUUCUUUUUGCAUCAGCUUUUCAGCUUCUAGAACUUGAAAGGACUUGAAUUCUGCCACAGCCUCUUUAACACUUCAUGGAUAUUUGAUAACCUACCCGUGCACAUAUAGGGAGCCAUACAGAGAUAUUUACUGUGUGACGUGUAAGAUAUCUGAGGGUUAAUAUUAGUAAUUAAGGUUGUAAUAAAAAAAACAACUAUGUGUUUGCUUUGUUCAUUAUCAAAGAAAGAGGCACUACCAGGCAAAUUGCUGCCAACAAGACCUUUGUACUUUGUGGAUUUGUUAUUAUUCAAUAAAUUCUGACAUUAUGGAAAGGCA